rnacentral:rRNA from 1 species
AGAGUUUGAUCAUGGCUCAGAACGUACGCUGGCGGCACGCCUAACACAUGCAAGUCGAACGCAGUAGCAAUACUGAGUGGCAAACGGGUGAGUAUAAUGUGGGAAUCUGCCUUUUGGUUUGGAAUAACACGGGGAAACUUGUGCUAAUACUGAAUAAGCCCUUACGGGGAAAGUUUUAACGCCGAAAGAUGAGCCCGCACUUGAUUAGCUAGUUGGUAAGGUAAAAGCUUACCAAGGCAACGAUCAAUAGCUGUUCUUAGAGGAAGACCAGCCACAUUGGGACUGAGACACGGCCCAGACUCCUACGGGAGGCAGCAGUGGGGAAUCUUGCACAAUGGGGGAAACCCUGAUGCAGCGAUGCCGCGUGAGUGAAGAAGGCCCUUGGGUUGUAAAACUCUUUCGUCGGGGAAGAAAAUGACUGUACCCGAAUAAGAAGGUCCGGCUAACUUCGUGCCAGCAGCCGCGGUAAUACGAAGGGACCUAGCGUAGUUCGGAAUUACUGGGCUUAAAGAGCUCGUAGGUGGUUAAAAAAGUUGAUGGUGAAAUCCCAAGGCUCAACCUUGGAACUGCCAUCAAAACUUUUUAGCUAGAGUGUGAUAGAGGUAAGUGGAAUUUCUAGUGUAGAGGUGAAAUUCGUAGAUAUUAGAAAGAACACCAAAUGCGAAGGCAACUUACUGGGUCACUACUGACACUGAGGAGCGAAAGCAUGGGUAGCGAAGAGGAUUAGAUACCCUCGUAGUCCAUGUCGUAACGAUGUGUGCUAGACGUUGGAAAUAUAUUUUUCAGUGUCGCAGCGAAAGCAUUAAGCACACCGCCUGGGNGUACGACCGCAAGGUNAACUCAAUGANUGACGGGACCCGCACAUGCAGUGGAGCAUGUG